AGAGUUUGAUCAUGGCUCAGGACGAACGCUGGCGGCGUGCUUAACACAUGCAAGUCGAGCGGAAAGGCCCUUCGGGGUACUCGAGCGGCGAACGGGUGAGUAACACGUGAGUAACCUGCCCUGCGCUUUGGGAUAACCCUCGGAAACGGGGGCUAAUACCGAAUAUUCACGAAUGGUCGCAUGGUUGUUUGUGGAAAGUUUUUCGGCGUGGGAUGGGCUCGCGGCCUAUCAGCUUGUUGGUGGGGUGAUGGCCUACCAAGGCGACGACGGGUAGCCGGCCUGAGAGGGCGACCGGCCACACUGGGACUGAGACACGGCCCAGACUCCUACGGGAGGCAGCAGUGGGGAAUAUUGCACAAUGGGCGGAAGCCUGAUGCAGCGACGCCGCGUGAGGGAUGACGGCCUUCGGGUUGUAAACCUCUUUCAGCAGGGACGAAGCGUUUGUGACGGUACCUGCAGAAGAAGCGCCGGCCAACUACGUGCCAGCAGCCGCGGUAAGACGUAGGGCGCGAGCGUUGUCCGGAUUUAUUGGGCGUAAAGAGCUCGUAGGCGGCUUGUCGCGUCGGCUGUGAAAUCCCGUGGCUCAACUGCGGGCUUGCAGCCGAUACGGGCAGGCUAGAGUUCGGUAGGGGAGACUGGAAUUCCUGGUGUAGCGGUGAAAUGCGCAGAUAUCAGGAGGAACACCGGUGGCGAAGGCGGGUCUCUGGGCCGAUACUGACGCUGAGGAGCGAAAGCGUGGGGAGCGAACAGGAUUAGAUACCCUAGUAGUCC
rnacentral:rRNA from 1 species